rnacentral:rRNA from 1 species
AACGCACCUUGCGCCCUUUGGUAUUCCGAAGGGCAUGCCUGUUUGAGUGUCAUUAAAUUAUCAACCUUGUUCGCUUUUCGGAGCUUGAGCGAGGCUUGGAUGUGAGGGUUUUUGCUGGCUUCCUUCAGUGGAUGGUCUGCUCCCUUUAAAUGCAUUAGUGGGAUCUCUUUUGUGGACCGUCACUUGGUGUGAUAAUUAUCUAUACUUCAACCAAUUUAAGUUAGCUGGCUUCUAAUCGAUCCUUAGUGAUCACUUUGUGUAUUUGACCUCAAAUCAGGUAGGACUACCCGCUGAACUUAA